rnacentral:rRNA from 1 species
CCCUUAGAUGUCCUGGGCUGCACGCGCGCUACACUGGAAGUUACGGAUUGAGAUACUACCUUGUCCGAAAUGGUCCGGGUAAUCACCUAAAAGCUUGUCAUAAUUGGAAUGGAUUAUUGUAACUAGUAAUCCUGAACGAGGAAUUCCUAGUAAGUCCCAGUCAACAGCUGGUACUGAUUACGUCCCUGCCCUUUGUACACACCGCCCGUCGCUACUACUGAUUGGACGUUUAAGCAAGAUUUUUAAAUACUGACAGUGUGUAGUUCACGCUAUACUACAGUGAGAAGAAGAAGAUCGAGCUUACUUGUCUAGAGGAAGUAAAAGUCGUAACA